AUGUCAGGGUCCACAGACACCAAAAAAUAAGUUUCUUUCAAGUCUUUGCUGGAUCUCAUAUACCAAUAUCAUUAAGAAGGGAAUCUGGAGGACGGCAUGAGGUUCGUCCUGCAGCUAAACUGAAGAGACCAAUGCUACAGAGGCUCUCCCAAAUCUUAGGCUCACCAGACCCAGGUUUAAGGACAGACAAAAGUGGAAAAGACCCAGAGAAGAAGUUCAUGAGAGUCUACAAGUUUGACAUAUCUCACCUGUGGAAAAGCCUUAAGAUCUGUUUAAAGAGAAGAGUGUGAACCGUGUAAGGACAACGUUGAAUCUGUGAUGGGGGAGAAGCUGCCUUUUGAGGCACUGAGGCCAGCAGAGAAGCCCACGCUCGAUGAGAGGCUGAGGUAGGGAGGGCGGGGGUGUUGAUGGCAGGCACAGGACACUGUCAUAAAAGAGGUGCAUGUAUGCUGAAUCACUUCAGUUGUGUCUGACUC